GCUUGUCUCAAAGAUUAAGCCAUGCAUGUCUAAGUAUAAAUAGUAUACAGUGAAACUGCGAAUGGCUCAUUAAAACAGUUAUAGUUUAUUUGAUAAUUGAAAAUUACAUGGAUAACCGUGGUAAUUCUAGAGCUAAUACAUGCUAUCAAGCCCGACUUCUUGAAGGGUUGUAUUUAUUAGACUUAAGCCAAUAUUCCUUGUGUCUAUUGCGAUGAUUCAUAAUAACUGAUCGAAUCGCAUGGUCCUUGACCGCGAUACAUCAUUCAAGUUUCUGCCCCAUCAGCUUUCGAUGGUAGUGUAUUGGACUACCAUGGCUUUAACGGGUAACGGAGGAUUAGGGUUCGAUUCCGGAGAGGGAGCCUGAGAAACGGCUACCACAUCUAAGGAAGGCAGCAGG
rnacentral:rRNA from 1 species